ensembl:lncRNA
GGAUGGUGUCUGACAAAUGGGAUUUGUAAGCAGCUUUCUGUUUGUUUCUAUUCUGCUUAAGCCCUGAUCAUAAAGAUGAGAUCAUUAGGUAACAUUUAACCUAACUCCUGAGUUCUGCUUUACCGAAUAGACAUAACACCUUGCUUAAACUGUUGAUUCUUUCCCCAGAUUAAAAAGAGUAAGACUGAAAAGUGAAGAAUGACUGACUCUCUACCCCAGCUCCCCCCUUAGCAACUUGCAUGCGUGCAGGAGACCACCCAAAGGAAGAUCAGGAGAUGUCAGCAGGUCUGCACGCAGUGGAAAAAUGACGAAGAAUCUGACCUUCUGCCUUAAUGAUUAAGUGAGACUGUUUUUCCUUUUUCCCUUUAAAAAUCGUCAUGAUUUAGCAGAAUCUUUGGAGUUGGUCUCCAGACAAGAUCCACCUUCUCCCCAGAUUUCUGGCUUUUCUGAAUAAAACACCUUUCUUUUCUACCGACAAGUGGCCCUAAAUUAUUGGCUUUUGAGCAGAAAGCAGCUGAACCUGAGUUUAGUAACAGUUUCAAGUAAGACCAGUUCAAAUUAAUAUUGAAAUAAACUGGCUUCCUUGUUCAUCCAAAGUGAAAGGCAAGGUGAGCUUCAGCUUUCUGUAUGAGUGCAUUUCCAUUGCAUCCUAUAAGCAAUGGUUUUGCUCAAUUCCCUUUACCAUUGUGCAACUUUAUUUCACUCAUCCAGAGCUUUCUCUAUCAUUAGUUUUCUUCUUUCCAUUUCUGCUCUUUCCUUUCCUUCAGUAAAAAGGGCUGCUUGGCUUGUGUCUUCCUCAGCUGCUGCUGCUAAGUCACUUCAGUCGUGUCCGACUCUGUGCGACCCCAUAGAUGGCAGCCCAUUAGGCUCCCCCGUCCCUGGGAUUCUCCAGGCAAGAGCACUGGAAUGGGUUCCCAUUUGGAACAGCUUUGCAAGGGUUUUCUCUUUCCUCCAUCCAGACAGAAAAACAAAAGGGAAGAGAUUCUGAUUGCCCACUAAGGUCCUGUGUUCACCCCAUAACGAGAAGAUGAGCAGCUUCAUCAGAAGAGCAUGGAUUUGGGUAGGGCAGCUCCCAAAGGUGUGUGUGUUGGUUGGGGGUAAGAGUGGGGGGUUCAGUGGCUGCUACCAGAAGGAGAGGGG